AGGUGAAGUACUUAAUUACUAAACUUAAUAAAUUAAACAAUUAAAAUUUAUUCAUCCUUUCAAAUUGUAAAGGUAUUAUUAGUCAAAAGUUUCAAUAAUAAACUAAACUCAAUUCAGCAAAAAUGUAUUUGGGUGCAGUUAUUUCUUUGUCAGGAGCUCUAGCUCUCUUUAAAAAACUAGAUGUUGUUAAUUCUUCUAUCAAAAGCUCCUUAAAAUACUCAAAUUUUAUUUUCUAACUUGCCCUCUUAGUUAAUAUAACUAAUAAAUAAAAUCUGAAAAUUCACAUAAAAUUUUUAUAAAAUAUUGAUAAUUGUUACUGCAUGUUGUUUCUGUAAGUACUUUUAAUACUAGUGACAAUGUUAUAUUACAUUGACAUAUUUUUUUUUAUGUUGAAAAAUAAACAAGCUUUAUAUGAACUUUAAACACAGAUAAUAAUUUGCAUGUAGUAAAAUUGCUUAAUAUAUCCAUUAUUUUAUCAUUUUUAACUUUAUCUAUCGGUUAUUUUCAUUUUGAAAAUACAGGAUAAAUGAAAUAAUAACAAACACAUAUUUCAAUUGAAAAUUUAUCAACUUGAAAACACCAUUUUCAUUCUCAGAAUAUAAAUUUAAAAAUAAAAUACAGAACAUGCCCUAACAUUUUCUGAAUUUAUUUUUAUACUGUAAAAGAAUCAAAUUAACUCACACAGUUAUUUUAGUUUUUAUGAUAUAAACAAAUAAUCAUCAUUUAAAUUCAAUAGAAAGAGGUAUUCUUGGUAGAAUUGACUUCUUUAGCAAAAUAUAAUCUAUUUGGGACUUCUUACUCCAUUAGGUUAAUUGUCACAUCAUUAAUUUUAGAUUAUAAACUUUAUAUUCGAACUUUGUAAGACCAUCAUUUCUCCCUUUUUAUUUAAAAAAAAAAUUAACUUCUUGCAUGAUCUAGUUGGUCUCCUUUCAAAAGAAAUAAAAAAAAAAACUAAAAUAAAAGGAAAUAAAGCAUAUUCUUUAUCUUAAUUACUUUCAUUUGUUAUUGACAUGUACUCAUGCAUUGUGCUUUUGUAUACUUUAUCGAUAUGUUUUGCUUAAGGGAUAAAACUCAUUAUGUGGCAAAAUUUUAUUAGAGCUGGGAUUAUUUAUAUAUGUUCUAGUACUUUGAGCAUCUUACCAUACACUCGUCUAUAAAAUUUUAACAUUAAUUUUUACUACUCAUCGAAAUAUCAAAAUAGUCCUUACUAAACAUCUCUCAUUAUGGGGGAGAGGGAUAGAGGAAGUUGUCAAACCGACCCGGAAAACCCGACCCAAAUCUGCGAACUCGACCCAGAUAUAUCUCCGAUUUUCGGCCACGUCACCGGCCAUGGAUGGAGCAACGAAAGCUCCUCAGCCAGCCAUCAGUUUCGCACCGUCACUGUCGCCAAAAACCAACCGAAACGCCGCCGUUGUUCUGUGAAGAAAAAUACGUAUCAAAUGAUCGACGGAUUGUACUUUUCAAUUUUUACUUCACAGUACUUUUCUUUAUUUGCUGGGUCAUUUAUGUUUUUUUGGACGGAUUUAAGUGUGCUCAUACAUUUUAUUGAAUUUUAUUUUGAUAAAAUCACCAACGAUCAGUAGAGAUUUACACUACCUAUCUGAGUAUUUGGUUCUCUAAUGUAAGGAAGCAUGUAAUCUUUCGCCAAUAAUUUUUUAUUUCAUCAAAAUGUUAAAAUGUUGAAAGGAGAAUUAGAUUUUUUUUUAUAUAAAAAAGAGAAUUAGAGUUCAUAUUGAAGAAAAUUAUUUUUCCUACUAUAAAUCCAGUUCGAAUCUUUGAAGCAAAUGAUCUAAUCUCAAGCAUAGAAAGUAGGAAGAUCGAUUGAACAGCGGACACAUUAACAAAAAAUAAUUACUUUAAAAAGUUAAUAUUGGAUAUCACAAAAAUUUUAUUAUUAUUAUUAUUGUAAGUUGGUAUGUUGAAAAAUAAACAAGCUUUAUAUGAACUUUAAACACAGAUAAUAAUUUGCAUGUAGUAAAAUUGCUUAAUAUAUCCAUUAUUUUAUCAUUUUUAACUUUAUCUAUCGGUUAUUUUCAUUUUGAAAAUACAGGAUAAAUGAAAUAAUAACAAACACAUAUUUCAAUUGAAAAUUUAUCAACUUGAAAACACCAUUUUCAUUCUCAGAAUAUAAAUUUAAAAAUAAAAUACAGAACAUGCCCUAACAUUUUCUGAAUUUAUUUUUAUACUGUAAAAGAAUCAAAUUAACUCACACAGUUAUUUUAGUUUUUAUGAUAUAAACAAAUAAUCAUCAUUUAAAUUCAAUAGAAAGAGGUAUUCUUGGUAGAAUCAGGAGCGGAUCCAGGACUUAAUAUUACCCCGGGCUAAAUUUUAAAAUUUAUAUUUUGAAGCGAACAUAAAAAUUUAUAUAUAAAAAUAAGUAUAUUAAAUAAGGAGGAAUACCAAAAAUUUUAUCUCUCUAAAUAUGAACUAUAAACAAAAAUAAUUAUAGAAAAAGAGUAAAAAACAAAAGAUAACUCGAAUAUGAAAACACUAUUCUUCAAUUAUAGAAUCUGACAUUGCAGCCUAUAAUAAUAUAUAAUUAUAUAAGGAUUAAAAAAUCAAUUAAGAAUUUCAAAUUAAAAUAGAUCUAUACAUGUAAUUACAAUCAAUUAAAAAUUACAAGUAACACUUUUAUGUUUGAGGUGAAGUACUUAAUUACUAAACUUAAUAAAUUAAACAAUUAAAAUUUAUUCAUCCUUUCAAAUUGUAAAGGUAUUAUUAGUCAAAAGUUUCAAUAAUAAACUAAACUCAAUUCAGCAAAAAUGUAUUUGGGUGCAGUUGUUUCUUUGUUAGGCGCUCUAGCUCUCUUUAAAAAACUAGAUGUUGAUAAUUCUUCUAUCAAAAGCUCUUUAAAAUACUCAAAAUUUAUUUUCUAACUUGCCCUCUUAGUUAAUA
rnacentral:lncRNA from 1 species